AUUGAACGCUGGCGGCAGGCCUAACACAUGCAAGUCGAACGGUAGCACAGAGAGCUUGCUCUCGGGUGACAAGUGGCGGACGGGUGAGUAAUGUCUGGGAAACUGCCCGAUGGAGGGGGAUAACUACUGGAAACGGUAACUAAUACCGCAUAACGUCUUCGGACCAAAGUGGGGGACCUUCGGGCCUCACACCAUCGGAUGUGCCCAGAUGGGAUUAGCUAGUAGGUGGGGUAAUGGCUCACCUAGGCGACGAUCCCUAGCUGGUCUGAGAGGAUGACCAGCCACACUGGAACUGAGACACGGUCCAGACUCCUACGGGAGGCAGCAGUGGGGAAUAUUGCACAAUGGGCGCAAGCCUGAUGCAGCCAUGCCGCGUGUAUGAAGAAGGCCUUCGGGUUGUAAAGUACUUUCAGCGGGGAGGAAGGCGUUAAGGUUAAUAACCUUGGCGAUUGACGUUACCCGCAGAAGAAGCACCGGCUAACUCCGUGCCAGCCGCCGCGGUAACAC
rnacentral:rRNA from 1 species